rnacentral:rRNA from 1 species
UACGGAGGGUGCAAGCGUUAUCCGGAUUCACUGGGUUUAAAGGGUGCGUAGGUGGGUUAAUAAGUCAGUGGUGAAAUCCCCGAGCUUAACUUGGGAACUGCCAUUGAUACUAUUGAUCUUGAAUACCGUGGAGGUCAGCGGAAUAUGUCAUGUAGCGGUGAAAUGCUUAGAUAUGACAUAGAACACCAAUUGCGAAGGCAGCUGGCUACGCGAAUAUUGACACUGAUGCACGAAAGCGUGGGGAUCAAACAGG